GGCCGUCUGGCGAAAUGGCAUCGCGUCUGACUACGAUGGAUGUGACUUCAUUAUCAAAUCAGGAGAUUGCAGGUUCGACCCCUGCGUCGGUCA